rnacentral:rRNA from 1 species
UGGGGAAUAUUGGACAAUGGGCGCAAGCCUGAUCCAGCCAUACCGCGUGGGUGAAGAAGGCCUUCGGGUUGUAAAGCCCUUUUGUUGGGAAAGAAAUCCAGCUGGUUAAUACCCGGUUGGGAUGACGGUACCCAAAGAAUAAGCACCGGCUAACUUCGUGCCAGCAGCCGCGGUAAUACGAAGGGUGCAAGCGUUACUCGGAAUUACUGGGCGUAAAGCGUGCGUAGGUGGUCGUUUAAGUCCGUUGUGAAAGCCCUGGGCUCAACCUGGGAACUGCAGUGGAUACUGGGCGACUAGAGUGUGGUAGAGGGUAGCGGAAUUCCUGGUGUAGCAGUGAAAUGCGUAGAGAUCAGGAGGAACAUCCAUGGCGAAGGCAGCUACCUGGACCAACACUGACACUGAGGCACGAAAGCGUGGGGAGCAAACAGGAUUAGAUACCCUGGUAGUCCACGCCCUAAACGAUGCGAACUGGAUGUUGGGUGCAAUUUGGCACGCAGUAUCGAAGCUAACGCGUUAAGUUCGCCGCCUGGGGAGUACGGUCGCAAGACUG